AUUGAACGCUGGCGGCAGGCUUAACACAUGCAAGUCGAGCGGAGAUGAGGUGCUUGCACCUUAUCUUAGCGGCGGACGGGUGAGUAAUGCUUAGGAAUCUGCCUAUCAGUGGGGGACAACAUUCCGAAAGGAAUGCUAAUACCGCAUACGUCCUACGGGAGAAAGCAGGGGAUCUUCGGACCUUGCGCUAAUAGAUGAGCCUAAGUCGGAUUAGCUAGUUGGUGGGGUAAAGGCCUACCAAGGCGACGAUCUGUAGCGGGUCUGAGAGGAUGAUCCGCCACACUGGGACUGAGACACGGCCCAGACUCCUACGGGAGGCAGCAGUGGGGAAUAUUGGACAAUGGGGGGAACCCUGAUCCAGCCAUGCCGCGUGUGUGAAGAAGGCCUUAUGGUUGUAAAGCACUUUAAGCGAGGAGGAGGCUACUGAGACUAAUACUCUUGGAUAGUGGACGUUACUCGCAGAAUAAGCACCGGCUAACUCUGUGCCAGCCGCCGCAGUAAUAC
rnacentral:rRNA from 1 species